UACGAAGGGGGCUAGCGUUGCUCGGAAUCACUGGGCGUAAAGCGCACGUAGGCGGCUUCUUAAGUCAGGGGUGAAAUCCUGGAGCUCAACUCCAGAACUGCCUUUGAUACUGAGGAGCUUGAGUCCGGGAGAGGUGAGUGGAACUGCGAGUGUAGAGGUGAAAUUCGUAGAUAUUCGCAAGAACACCAGUGGCGAAGGCGGCUCACUGGCCCGGUACUGACGCUGAGGUGCGAAAGCGUGGGAG
rnacentral:rRNA from 1 species